CCUGUCCACAAGCACCUGUGGGUACAUGUAGGUGUGUUGAAUUCAGGCUCGUUACAGCCGUGUUUCCGUCCGGCUGAUCACUACCAUGGUCAUCAAAUCCUGGAGCCACCGCGACGAAUCACGUGAUUUCUUUAUUAGUCUGUUUCAUGGGAUGACGAGUUUCUUUUCCCUGUCACAUACAUGCAUUGUUGCUUUUGAACACUGACCGUGGAUCUCUCAUCUAACGAUGCCAUCAUUCUGUGUAUUGUGGACAGUGCCUAACAAUGAUAUGUAAAGAUUUCUCUUUUCGAUGGAUCAGGAAGUAGAAUUGAGGAGGCUAGUUUGAUAGCAAGUUUUGUUUACUUCAAUGAGAUUGCUACCUAUACUGUACAACUGUAAACAGCACCUAUACAUGAUACCGGCAUUUAUUCUGAAAUUAUUCAGCGGAUUUACAGGUAAUGCAAAUUAAUAGCAGUGAACUUAUAUAUCUUAUCAUCACCCGUCGGCAAUUCAGUACGACAUCGAUCGUGUACCGGAAGAAAACAUAACAUUUUGUGCAUCUUAGAAAAUUGUAUGAAAAAUUUAUACAUCAAGUUCAAGUUUCUUUAUUCACUGAAACCAACAAUACGUGAUACAUGAUGUCAAGUACAUGUGAUACAUUCCAAUGGGAAAAAGGAUACAGGGAAGAGAGACACAAACAUAAUCAUGUUCACAUAAGGAGAGAAAAGAAUGGAGCGAGAGAAAAAACCCAAACAAAAUAGAUUAUAUGCAUGAGUUAUGGAGGACAGACUAAAUCGUAUAUUUUUGUUAUAAACAAACAUAGGUUUCUCAAUUUUUUAACACUUGUACUUGACAUUAUUUCAGAAAAUUUGACCACAUUUGGAUUUGUACAAUACCUUGAAUGUAAAAAUUGUUUUCUUAUGGCACACAAUGAUUUGCAUUCUAAAAUAAAAUGAAACUCGUUUA